rnacentral:rRNA from 1 species
UACGUAGGGCGCAAGCGUUAUCCGGAAUUAUUGGGCGUAAAGAGCUCGUAGGCGGUUUGUCGCGUCUGCCGUGAAAGCCCGGGGCUCACCUCCGGAAGUGCGCUUGAAACUGGUCGGCUAGAGUACGGGAGAGGGAAGCGGAAUUCCUGGUGUAGCGGUGAAAUGCGUAGAUAUCUGGAGGAACACCGGUGGCGAAGGCGGCGUUCUGGACUGCAACUGACACUGAGAGACGAAAGCCAGGGGAGCAAACGGG